UAUAAUUGAUAAAGAUGUGGUA
rnacentral:siRNA from 1 species